UGUACCGGACGCUCAAUGAACGAGCGUAUAAAACAAUAUGGCAACUGUGUAGACUCCCCCAUACAACUACACGCUGUAUGGGAACCCUUGUACAUGUUACUUGUUACCGUACUAUAUGUUAUACCUAUUGUUACCUUGUAACCAAAACCAUUUGUAUUCUUGUGAUGCUACAUAUCACCCACUGUUCAGUUCUUGUAAACAAUGAAACAAAAUCUUAAUAAAAAUUAUAUUGAAAAACAAAA